rnacentral:tRNA from 1 species
GGAGGGGUGCCGGAGUGGCCGAACGGGGCGGUCUCGAAAACCGUUGCACCCUCUGGGUGCCGUGGGUUCGAAUCCCACCCCCUCCGCCA